GGGGGGGUAGGCGUGCCUUACCUGCAAGUCUGACGGUAACAGGUCUUCGGAUGCUGACGAGUGGCGAACGGGUGAGCCCCAUAUCGGACCGUGCCCGAUCGUGGGGGAUAACGAAGCGAGCGCUUUGCUAAUACCGCAUAAGAUCUACGGAUGAAAGCAGGGGACCGCAAGGCCUUGCGCGAACGGAGCGGGCGAUGGCAUAUUAGGUAGUUGGUGGGAUAAAAGCUUACCAGGCCGACGAUCUGUAGCUGGUCUGAUGAGGACUACCAGCCACACUGGAACUGAGACACGGCCCACACUCCUACGGGAGGCAGCAGGGGGGAAUCUUGGACAAUGGGCGAAAGCCUGAUCCAGCCAUGCCGCGUGCACGAUGAAGGCCUUCCGGUUGUAAACUGCUUUUGUAUGGAACGAAAAGACUCUGGUUAAUACCUGGGGUCCAUGACGGUACCGUAAGAAUAAACACCGGCUAACUACGUGCCAGCAGCCGCGGUAAUACGUAUGGUGCGAGCGUUAAUCGGAAUUACUGGGCGUAAAGCGUGCGCAGGCGGAUAUAUAAGACAGAUGUGAAAUCCCCGGGCUCAACCUGGAGACUGCAUUCUGUGACUGUAUAGCUAGAGUACGGCAGAUGGGGAUGGAAUUCCGCGUGUAGCAGUGUCAUGCGUACAUAUGCUGAGGAUCACCGAUGGCGAAAGCGAUCCCCUGGGCCUGUACUGACGCUCACGCACGAAAGCGUGAGGAGCAAACAGGAUUAGAUACACUGGUAGUCCACGCCCUGAACAAUGUCAACUGGUUGGUGGCUCGUCCCUGACUUAAGAACGAAACUAACACGUUGAAUUGACCGCCUGGGGAAGUACGGCCCCAAGGUUGAAAGUCAAA
rnacentral:rRNA from 1 species